GAUGAACGCUAGCGGCAGGCCUAACACAUGCAAGUCGAGGGAUAAGCCUUCGUGCUUAUACCGACGGACGGGUGCGUAACGCGUAUACUAUCUGCCUUUUAUCCGGGGUAUAGCCCGAGGACAUUUGGAUUAAUACCCUGUGGUAUAAGAAUACGGCAUCGUGCACUUAUUAAAACUACGGCGGUAUACGAUGAGUAUGCGUUCUAUUAGCUCGGUGGUGAGGUAACGGGUCGCCAAGGCGACGAUAGAUAGGGGUACUGAGAGGGAUGUCACCCACACUGGUACUGGGAUAAGGACCAGACUCGUACGGGAGGCAGCAGUGAGGAAUAUUUGGCAGUGGUCGGGAGACUGAUCCAGCCAGGCCGUGUGCAGGAUGACGGGCUUAUGGGUUGUAAUCUGCUUUUGUAAGGGAAGGAUAAGGAGUACGUGUACUUUGAUGACGGUACCUUACGAAUAAGCAACGGCUAACUCCGUG
rnacentral:rRNA from 1 species